rnacentral:misc_RNA from 1 species
AAGUCGUAACAAGGUAACCGUAGGUGAACCUGCGGUUGGAUCAUUAGUGAUUACACCCCUUACUUAGAGAAUCGGUUGGUUGCAUUCACGUGUCAACCUCCUUUUCUUUAAUUACACCAUGUUGCACACAUUGAUACUAAAGCAUUUCAUCUUGUCUUUUGUUUGGGUUUUGUCGUCUUGUUUUUCCUUUAUAAAUUUUUUUUUGUAAAGGAACUGGCGCAAAAUUCAUAUAAGCAUGCACAUUUUUUGUGUAUGCGGAAAGAAGGCGAGGUGAAACCAUAUAAAACCCCAACAUACAAAUGUGUUUUUGAGUAUUUGGACAUUGAUCUUUUGUAUAUGCGUUGACGCGGAUUUAUUUCUGUAUUGAUGUAUAGACAUAAUUAAAGAUUACGAACAACUUUUGACAACGGAUCUCUUGGCUCUC